rnacentral:rRNA from 1 species
AGCUCCAAUAGCGUAUAUUAAAGUUGUUGCAGUUAAAAAUCUCGUAGUUGGAUUUCUGGUGGGAGGGAUCGGUCCAGCACUCUAUGUGGGAACUUGUAUCCUCUCCUGCCAUCCUUGGGUGGAUCUUGUCUGCCAUUAGGUUGUCAGUCAGGAGAUGCCCAUUGUUUACUGUGAAAAAAAUAGAGUGUUCGAAGCAGGUUUAUGCCAUUGAAUAAUUUACCAUGAAAUAGUAAGAUAAGGCCCUGGUACUAUUUUGUUGGUUUGCAUAACGAGGUACUAAUUAAUAGGGACAGUUGGGUGUAUUUGUAUUCAGUAUUAAAUGGUGAAAAAUUAGACCUACCAAAAAUAAACUACUGCGAGAAUAUUUACCAAGGAUAUGUUCA